rnacentral:rRNA from 1 species
AUUGAACGCUGGCGGCAUGCCUUACACAUGCAAGUCGAACGGUAACAGGUCUUCGGAUGCUGACGAGUGGCGAACGGGUGAGUAAUACAUCGGAACGUGCCCGAGAGUGGGGGAUAACGAAGCGAAAGCUUUGCUAAUACCGCAUACGAUCUCAGGAUGAAAGCAGGGGACCGCAAGGCCUUGCGCUCACGGAGCGGCCGAUGGCAGAUUAGGUAGUUGGUGGGAUAAAAGCUUACCAAGCCGACGAUCUGUAGCUGGUCUGAGAGGACGACCAGCCACACUGGGACUGAGACACGGCCCAGACUCCUACGGGAGGCAGCAGUGGGGAAUUUUGGACAAUGGGCGCAAGCCUGAUCCAGCCAUGCCGCGUGCAGGAUGAAGGCCUUCGGGUUGUAAACUGCUUUUGUACGGAACGAAAAGACUCUGGUUAAUACCUGGGGUCCAUGACGGUACCGUAAGAAUAAGCACCGGCUAACUACGUGCCAGCAGCCGCGGUAAUACGUAGGGUGCGAGCGUUAAUCGGAAUUACUGGGCGUAAAGCGUGCGCAGGCGGUUAUGUAAGACAGAUGUGAAAUCCCCGGGCUCAACCUGGGAACUGCAUUUGUGACUGCGUAGCUAGAGUACGGCAGAGGGGGAUGGAAUUCCGCGUGUAGCAGUGAAAUGCGUAGAUAUGCGGAGGAACACCGAUGGCGAAGGCAAUCCCCUGGGCCUGUACUGACGCUCAUGCACGAAAGCGUGGGGAGC